AACGAACGCUGGCGGCAGGCUUAACACAUGCAAGUCGAGCGCCCCGCAAGGGGAGCGGCAGACGGGUGAGUAACGCGUGGGAAUCUACCCAUCUCUACGGAAUAACGCAUGGAGACGUGUGCUAAUACCGUAUACGUCCUUCGGGAGAAAGAUUUAUCGGAGAUGGAUGAGCCCGCGUUGGAUUAGCUAGUUGGUGGGGUAAAGGCCUACCAAGGCGACGAUCCAUAGCUGGUCUGAGAGGAUGAUCGGCCACACUGGGACUGAAACACGGCCCAGACACCUACGGGUGGCAGCAACUGGGAAUAUUUGACAAUGGACGAAAGUCUGAUCCAGCGACUCCGCGUGAGGGAUGAAGGCCUUCGGGUUGUAAACCUCUUUUGUAUGGGAAGAAAAAAAUGACGGUACCAUACGAAUAAGGACCUGCAAACUACGUGCCAGCAGCCGCAGUAACAC
rnacentral:rRNA from 1 species